rnacentral:rRNA from 1 species
GAUGAACGCUGGCGGCGUGCCUAAUACAUGCAAGUCGAGCGAACAGACGAGGAGCUUGCUCCUCUGACGUUAGCGGCGGACGGGUGAGUAACACGUGGAUAACCUACCUAUAAGACUGGGAUAACUUCGGGAAACCGGAGCUAAUACCGGAUAAUAUAUUGAACCGCAUGGUUCAAUAGUGAAAGACGGUUUUGCUGUCACUUAUAGAUGGAUCCGCGCCGCAUUAGCUAGUUGGUAAGGUAACGGCUUACCAAGGCAACGAUGCGUAGCCGACCUGAGAGGGUGUAGGCCCACUGAGAAGCUGAGAGACGAUCCAGGGACCGACGGGAGGCAGCAGUAGGGACGCGUCCGCACUGUGCGAAAGCCUGACGGAGCAACGCCGCGUGAGUGAUGAAGGGCUUCGGAUCGUAAAACGCUGUUAUGAGUGAAGAACAAAUGUGUAAGUAACUAUGCACGUCUUGACGGUACCUAUCAGAAAGCCACGGCUAACUACGUG